UACGUAGGGUCCGAGCGUUGUCCGGAAUUAUUGGGCGUAAAGGGCUCGUAGGCGGUUUGUCGCGUCGGGAGUGAAAACACGGGGCUUAACCCCGUGCCUGCUUCCGAUACGGGCAGACUAGAGGUAUGCAGGGGAGAACGGAAUUCCUGGUGUAGCGGUGAAAUGCGCAGAUAUCAGGAGGAACACCGGUGGCGAAGGCGGUUCUCUGGGCAAUAACUGACGCUGAGGAGCGAAAGCGUGGGGAGCGAACAGG
rnacentral:rRNA from 1 species